AUUGAACGCUGGCGGCAUGCCUUACACAUGCAAGUCGAACGGCAGCACGGAGCUUGCUCUGGUGGCGAGUGGCGAACGGGUGAGUAAUAUAUCGGAACGUACCCUAGAGUGGGGGAUAACGUAGCGAAAGUUACGCUAAUACCGCAUACGAUCUAAGGAUGAAAGUGGGGGAUCGCAAGACCUCAUGCUCGUGGAGCGGCCGAUAUCUGAUUAGCUAGUUGGUAGGGUAAAAGCCUACCAAGGCAUCGAUCAGUAGCUGGUCUGAGAGGACGACCAGCCACACUGGAACUGAGACACGGUCCAGACUCCUACGGGAGGCAGUAGUGGGGAAUUUUGGACAAUGGGCGAAAGCCUGAUCCAGCAAUGCCGCGUGAGUGAAGAAGGCCUUCGGGUUGUAAAGCUCUUUUGUCAGGGAAGAAACGGUGAGAGCUAAUAUCUCUUGCUAAUGACGGUACCUGAAGAAUAAGCACCGGCUAACUACGCGCCAGCAGCCGCGGUAAUACGUAGGGUGCAAGCGUUAAUCGGAAUUACUGGGCGUAAAGCGUGCGCAGGCGGUUUUGUAAGUCUGAUGUGAAAUCCCCGGGCUCAACCUGGGAAUUGCAUUGGAGACUGCAAGGCUAGAAUCUGGCAGAGGGGGGUAGAAUUCCACGUGUAGCAGUGAAAUGCGUAGAUAUGUGGAGGAACACCGAUGGCGAAGGCAGCCCCCUGGGUCAAGAUUGACGCUCAUGCACGAAAGCGUGGGGAGCAAACAGGAUUAGAUACCCUGGUAGUCCACGCCCUAAACGAUGUCUACUAGUUGUCGGGUCUUAAUUGACUUGGUAACGCAGCUAACGCGUGAAGUAGACCGCCUGGGGAGUACGGUCGCAAGAUUAAAACUCAAAGGAAUUGACGGGGACCCGCACAAGCGGUGGAUGAUGUGGAUUAAUUCGAUGCAACGCGAAAAACCUUACCUAUCCUUGACAUGGCUGGAAUCCCCGAGAGAUCAGGGAGUGCUCGAAAGAGAACCAGUACACAGGUGCUGCAUGGCUGUCGUCAGCUCGUGUCGUGAGAUGUUGGGUUAAGUCCCGCAACGAGCGCAACCCUUGUCAUUAGUUGCUACGAAAGGGCACUCUAAUGAGACUGCCGGUGACAAACCGGAGGAAGGUGGGGAUGACGUCAAGUCCUCAUGGCCCUUAUGGGUAGGGCUUCACACGUCAUACAAUGGUACAUACAGAGCGCCGCCAACCCGCGAGGGGGAGCUAAUCGCAGAAAGUGUAUCGUAGUCCGGAUUGUAGUCUGCAACUCGACUGCAUGAAGUUGGAAUCGCUAGUAAUCGCGGAUCAGCAUGUCGCGGUGAAUACGUUCCCGGGUCU
rnacentral:rRNA from 1 species